UGGCUCGAGGACGAACGCUGGCGGCGUGCUUAACACAUGCAAGUCGAACGGUAAGGCCCUUCGGGGUACACGAGUGGCGAACGGGUGAGUAACACGUGAGUAACCUGCCCCAGUCUCUGGGAUAACCGCCGGAAACGGCGGCUAAUACUGGAUAUUCAGCGUCUGCCGCAUGGUGGGUGUUGGAAAGCUCCGGCGGAUUGGGAUGGGCUCGCGGCCUAUCAGCUUGUUGGUGAGGUAGUGGCUCACCAAGGCUUCGACGGGUAGCCGGCCUGAGAGGGCGACCGGCCACAUUGGGACUGAGAUACGGCCCAAACUCCUACGGGAGGCAGCAGUGGGGAAUAUUGCACAAUGGGCGGAAGCCUGAUGCCAGCAACGCCGCGUGCGGGAUGACGGCCUUCGGGUUGUAAACCGCUUUCAACGCAGACGAAGCGAAAGUGACGGUAUGCGUAGAAGAAGCACCGGCCAACUACGUGCCAGCCGCUGC
rnacentral:rRNA from 1 species